rnacentral:rRNA from 1 species
CAGCCGCCGCGGUAAUACGAAGGGUGCAAGCGUUAAUCGGAAUUACUGGGCGUAAAGCGUGCGUAGGCGGUUUGUUAAGUCUGUUGUGAAAUCCCCGGGCUCAACCUGGGAAUGGCAAUGGAUACUGGCAAGCUAGAGUGUGUCAGAGGAUGGUGGAAUUCCCGGUGUAGCGGUGAAAUGCGUAGAGAUCGGGAGGAACAUCAGUGGCGAAGGCGGCCAUCUGGGACAACACUGACGCUGAGGCACGAAAGCGUGGGGAGCAAACAGGAUUAGAUACCCGGGUAGUCCCUGUCUCUUAUAC